rnacentral:rRNA from 1 species
UACGUAGGGGGCAAGCGUUGUCCGGAAUCAUUGGGCGUAAAGCGCGUGUAGGCGGCCAGAUAGGUCUGCUGUGAAAACUCGAGGCUCAACCUCGAGCUGUCGGCGGAAACCAUUUGGCUAGAGUCCGGAAGAGGAGAGUGGAAUUCCCGGUGUAGCGGUGAAAUGCGCAGAUAUCGGGAAGAACACCUGUGGCGAAGGCGGCUCUCUGGGACGGUACUGACGCUGGGACGCGAAAGCGUGGGGAGCAAACAGG